UACGAAGGGGGGCUAGCGUUGUUCGGAAUUACUGGGCGUAAAGCGCGCGCAGGCGGUCUUCCAAGUCAGUGGUGAAAGCCCGGGAGCUCAACUCCGGAACUGCCAUUGAAACUGUUAGACUUGAGGAUGAGAGAGGUGAGUGGAAUUCCCAGUGUAGAGGUGAAAUUCGUAGAGAUGCGGAGGAACACCGAUGGCGAAGGCAGCCCCCUGGGCUAACACUGACGCUCAGGCACGAAAGCGUGGGGAGCAAACAGG
rnacentral:rRNA from 1 species